rnacentral:rRNA from 1 species
UGGGGAAUAUUGCACAAUGGGCGCAAGCCUGAUGCAGCCAUGCCGCGUGUGUGAAGAAGGCCUUCGGGUUGUAAAGCACUUUCAGCGGGGAGGAAGGCGAUAAGGUUAAUAACCUUGUCGAUUGACGUUACCCGCAGAAGAAGCACCGGCUAACUCCGUGCCAGCAGCCGCGGCAAUACGGAGGGUGCAAGCGUUAAUCGGAAUUACUGGGCGUAAAGCGCACGCAGGCGGUCUGUCAAGUCGGAUGUGAAAUCCCCGGGCUUAACCUGGGAACUGCAUUCGAAACUGGCAGGCUAGAGUCUUGUAGAGGGGGGUAGAAUUCCAGGUGUAGCGGUGAAAUGCGUAGAGAUCUGGAGGAAUACCGGUGGCGAAGGCGGCCCCCUGGACAAAGACUGACGCUCAGGUGCGAAAGCGUGGGGAGCAAACAGG